rnacentral:rRNA from 1 species
UUAAGCGACUAAGCGUACACGGUGGAUGCCCUGGCAGUCAGAGGCGAUGAAGGACGUGCUAAUCUGCGAUAAGCGUCGGUGAGGUGAUAUGAACCGUUAUAACCGGCGAUUUCCGAAUGGGGAAACCCAGUGUGUUUCGACACACUAUCAUUAACUGAAUCCAUAGGUUAAUGAGGCGAACCGGGGGAACUGAAACAUCUAAGUACCCCGAGGAAAAGAAAUCAACCGAGAUUCCCCCAGUAGCGGCGAGCGAACGGGGAGGAGCCCAGAGCCUGAAUCAGUGUGUGUGUUAGUGGAAGCGUCUGGAAAGGCGCGCGAUACAGGGUGACAGCCCCGUACACAAAAAUGCACAUAUUGUGAGCUCGAUGAGUAGGGCGGGACACGUGGUAUCCUGUCUGAAUAUGGGGGGACCAUCCUCCAAGGCUAAAUACUCCUGACUGACCGAUAGUGAACCAGUACCGUGAGGGAAAGGCGAAAAGAACCCCGGCGAGGGGAGUGAAAAAGAACCUGAAACCGUGUACGUACAAGCAGUGGGAGCCUCUUAAUGGGGUGACUGCGUACCUUUUGUAUAAUGGGUCAGCGACUUAUAUUCUGUAGCAAGGUUAACCGAAUAGGGGAGCCGAAGGGAAACCGAGUCUUAACUGGGCGUUAAGUUGCAGGGUAUAGACCCGAAACCCGGUGAUCUAGCCAUGGGCAGGUUGAAGGUUGGGUAACACUAACUGGAGGACCGAACCGACUAAUGUUGAAAAAUUAGCGGAUGACUUGUGGCUGGGGGUGAAAGGCCAAUCAAACCGGGAGAUAGCUGGUUCUCCCCGAAAGCUAUUUAGGUAGCGCCUCGUGAAUUCAUCUCCGGGGGUAGAGCACUGUUUCGGCAAGGGGGUCAUCCCGACUUACCAACCCGAUGCAAACUGCGAAUACCGGAGAAUGUUAUCACGGGAGACACACGGCGGGUGCUAACGUCCGUCGUGAAGAGGGAAACAACCCAGACCGCCAGCUAAGGUCCCAAAGUCAUGGUUAAGUGGGAAACGAUGUGGGAAGGCCCAGACAGCCAGGAUGUUGGCUUAGAAGCAGCCAUCAUUUAAAGAAAGCGUAAUAGCUCACUGGUCGAGUCGGCCUGCGCGGAAGAUGUAACGGGGCUAAACCAUGCACCGAAGCUGCGGCAGCGACACUAUGUGUUGUUGGGUAGGGGAGCGUUCUGUAAGCCUGUGAAGGUGGCCUGUGAGGGUUGCUGGAGGUAUCAGAAGUGCGAAUGCUGACAUAAGUAACGAUAAAGCGGGUGAAAAGCCCGCUCGCCGGAAGACCAAGGGUUCCUGUCCAACGUUAAUCGGGGCAGGGUGAGUCGACCCCUAAGGCGAGGCCGAAAGGCGUAGUCGAUGGGAAACAGGUUAAUAUUCCUGUACUUGGUGUUACUGCGAAGGGGGGACGGAGAAGGCUAUGUUGGCCGGGCGACGGUUGUCCCGGUUUAAGCGUGUAGGCUGGUUUUCCAGGCAAAUCCGGAAAAUCAAGGCUGAGGCGUGAUGACGAGGCACUACGGUGCUGAAGCGACAAAUGCCCUGCUUCCAGGAAAAGCCUCUAAGCAUCAGGUAACAUUAAAUCGUACCCCAAACCGACACAGGUGGUCAGGUAGAGAAUACCAAGGCGCUUGAGAGAACUCGGGUGAAGGAACUAGGCAAAAUGGUGCCGUAACUUCGGGAGAAGGCACGCUGAUAUGUAGGUGAAGCGACUUGCUCGUGGAGCUGAAAUCAGUCGAAGAUACCAGCUGGCUGCAACUGUUUAUUAAAAACACAGCACUGUGCAAACACGAAAGUGGACGUAUACGGUGUGACGCCUGCCCGGUGCCGGAAGGUUAAUUGAUGGGGUUAGCGGCAACGCGAAGCUCUUGAUCGAAGCCCCGGUAAACGGCGGCCGUAACUAUAACGGUCCUAAGGUAGCGAAAUUCCUUGUCGGGUAAGUUCCGACCUGCACGAAUGGCGUAAUGAUGGCCAGGCUGUCUCCACCCGAGACUCAGUGAAAUUGAACUCGCUGUGAAGAUGCAGUGUACCCGCGGCAAGACGGAAAGACCCCGUGAACCUUUACUAUAGCUUGACACUGAACAUUGAGCCUUGAUGUGUAGGAUAGGUGGGAGGCUUUGAAGUGUGGACGCCAGUCUGCAUGGAGCCGACCUUGAAAUACCACCCUUUAAUGUUUGAUGUUCUAACGUGGGCCCGUAAUCCGGGUUGCGGACAGUGUCUGGUGGGUAGUUUGACUGGGGCGGUCUCCUCCUAAAGAGUAACGGAGGAGCACGAAGGUUGGCUAAUCCUGGUCGGACAUCAGGAGGUUAGUGCAAUGGCAUAAGCCAGCUUGACUGCGAGCGUGACGGCGCGAGCAGGUGCGAAAGCAGGUCAUAGUGAUCCGGUGGUUCUGAAUGGAAGGGCCAUCGCUCAACGGAUAAAAGGUACUCCGGGGAUAACAGGCUGAUACCGCCCAAGAGUUCAUAUCGACGGCGGUGUUUGGCACCUCGAUGUCGGCUCAUCACAUCCUGGGGCUGAAGUAGGUCCCAAAGGUAUGGCUGUUCGCCAUUUAAAGUGGUACGCGAGCUGGGUUUAGAACGUCGUGAGACAGUUCGGUCCCUAUCUGCCGUGGGCGCUGGAGAACUGAGGGGGGCUGCUCCUAGUACGAGAGGACCGGAGUGGACGCAUCACUGGUGUUCGGGUUGUCAUGCCAAUGGCACUGCCCGGUAGCUAAAUGCGGAAGAGAUAAGUGCUGAAAGCAUCUAAGCACGAAACUUGCCCCGAGAUGAGUUCUCCCUGACCCUUUAAGGGUCCUGAAGGAACGUUGAAGACGACGACGUUGAUAGGCCGGGUGUGUAAGCGCAGCGAUGCGUUGAGCUAACCGGUACUAAUGAACCGUGAGGCUUAACCUU